GUCUCGUUGGUGUAGUUGGUUAUCACGUGGGUCUCAUAUCAUCAUGUAAUGUAUGACUGCUCCUAGAGUAGAAAUCCCAAGGCCGCCAGUUCGAGUCUGGCACGGGACA